ACAGAAGUGAUUCUACAGACAAAAUUUUUAUAAGUGUGCCUGCCCCAGCCGAGAAAGUAAGAAGAUGCGAUUGGCUAACAGCCUGUGGACUUGGUCAGAACGACUUAAGCCAAAAAAGUCAUCUUUACGUCUGUGAAGACCAUUUCAAAAUGGAGGUUGAUUGCCUAAACUUAGCUGACUACAAAAGUGGCUGUAGAAAAAAAAUGUCGAUGAACAAGAAUGUCAUACCUCACAGGUUUCUUAGGCAAGAAGAUUCACACUCAACUGCUGUUGUGGUUGAAGAGGCAGCGAAGACAAUAGCCAGUGUAUCAAAACAAACUAAUGGGAUGUUUUCACAAGUGGCUUAUGGUUUUUAAUCCUCAUUGACUAAAGAAGUUCCCCAAUCAGCUGGCGUUGUGGCUGAAGAUGCAGUGAAGACAAAAGCCAGUAUAGCAAAACAAACUGAUGACUUCUUUUCACAAGCAACUUGUGAUGUAGACAGUUCAUGGGAAAAAGAAUCUGCAUUGACUGAAGCUUUUUCCUGGCCAACUAUCAUAGGCACAUCAGUUAACAAGGCUGAUAAGGCAGUAGCAACAGUCCCUAUUUGUUUGAAAAAUGUUGGUGUAAACACUGACAGUACCUUUGGGACCGAUAUGACAUCUUGCC